GAUGAACGCUGGCGGCGUGCCUAAUACAUGCAAGUCGAGCGAACAGACGAGGAGCUUGCUCCUCUGACGUUAGCGGCGGACGGGUGAGUAACACGUGGAUAACCUACCUAUAAGACUGGGAUAACUUCGGGAAACCGGAGCUAAUACCGGAUAAUAUAUUGAACCGCAUGGUUCAAUAGUGAAAGACGGUUUUGCUGUCACUUAUAGAUGGAUCCGCGCCGCAUUAGCUAGUUGGUAAGGUAACGGCUUACCAAGGCAACGAUGCGUAGCCGACCUGAGAGGGUGAUAGGCCACCCUGGAACUGAGACACGGUCCAGACUCCUACGGGAGGCAGCAGUAGGGAAUCUUACGCAAUAGGCGAAAGCCUGACGGAGCAACGCCGCGUGAGUGAUGAAGGUCUUCGGAUCGUAAAACUCUGUUAUUAGGGAAGAACAAAUGUGUAAGUAACUAUGCACGUCUUGACGGUACCUAAUCAGAAAGCCACGGCUAACUACGUG
rnacentral:rRNA from 1 species